CGUUCCGUUGCGAGUAUAUAACCUCUUUGGUUGCGACUACCGAUUACUGUGUUUUUUUAUUGAAUUUGUGCAUUAAUUGCAUUCGAUUCCUGAAACGGACAGUGGAUAUAAGAAUCAUCUUUUCUUUUCACGCAUUAGCUCAUCGCACUUUGUUCCUGACAAUUAAACAUAGGGGAGAUACAAAUCACCAUUCCUUUUCGCACACUAACUCAUCGCACUUUGUUUAAUAUCUACAAUAAUGGAUCUUGAGGAAUUGAAUAAUUAUACAAAUUUAUUAUUAAUUUGGACCAAAAUUAUCAAAAUGAGAUUAAGUUUAAAAAAACGUAAAAAAAGAGUUACAAGAAGAUGGUGGGUAAAACCUCAUAUUGCCAGAAAUAUGAGACAGCAUUUUGGUGCCCAUCAAAAGUUGUUUAUAUAUUUCAAAAUACAUGAUCAGGAAGAAUUUUUCAAACUUACAAGAAUGUCAGUGGAACAGUUUAAUUACUUACAUGAAUUAUUAAAACCAAAAUUACAAAAAAAAAGUCAUAGGGAACCUUUACCUACAGAAAUACGUGUUGCAGUGACGUUAAGCUUUCUUGCUCAUGGAGAUAGCGUGACCACUACAGCUUUAUUUUUUCGGAUA